UAUAAAAUAUACAUAUUUCUAAUUAAAGGAACUGGACGGGAUUAAGCUACCUAAACAGUGGUUUAUCACAGUUAAUGGAUUUACAGAGUUGGAAGAGUGCAGCAACAAGCUGCUGAUGUGGGUUCAUGGAGAAGCAGCUCGUAUAGCUGACAGCUUAGAAGACGUUGAUAUUCUAGCAGCUGCUGGAGAACUGCUCAGUAAAUUCAGUGGAGAUCCUUGCAUUUCCAAACCAAACCGUGUUCACAGACACCGCUGGUUAACAGAUCCGUUUACACUUGGCACCUGGAGCUAUCCAUCCAUCCACUCAUCCUUUAAGGUACUAUAUGCUCUACACUUGAACCUGGAGCUAUCCAUCCUUG